AAGUCGUAACAAGGUCUCCGUAGGUGAACCUGCGGAGGGAUCAUUAACACGUUUCCAUAACGUUUAACUAUACCCACCAAAUUGCGUGAAUUCAAUCGAAUCAAUUUAUACCCGACUUGAGAGGGAGAGAACCUGUCUUUAUACACGGAGUGAUGAGUGUGCGUAUUUGUUAUGUUGGCAACAGCAUAACAUUAGGCAUGCGGUGUAUCUAGGCUUGUAAUGCUCGACAUUACGGGAUCUCUCUCAUUCAAGCUAUCAACACUUAACCAAUGUUCCCUUCAUCGCUGGAACGAACAACACCCCUUUCACCCCUUUAUAACUAACUAGACUGAUAUUUCUUUUAACCAGUGAGGCUUGCUUUACUGUUUACGAGAUUGAUUAAUAAUCAAAUAUCUAAGCACAACUCUUAGCAACGGAUAUCUUGGUUCUC
rnacentral:misc_RNA from 1 species